rnacentral:rRNA from 1 species
UACGUAGGCGGAAAAUUAAGUCAGUAGUGAAAUCCCGCAGCUUAACUGUGGAACGGUUAUUGAUACUGGUUUUCUUGAAUAUAGUUGAGGUAGGCGGAAUGUGUAAUGUAGCGGUGAAAUGCUUAGAUAUUACACAGAACACCGAUUGCGAAGGCAGCUUACUAAGCUAUGAUUGACGCUGAGGUACGAAAGCGUGGGGAGCGAACAGGAUUAGAUACCCUGGUAGUCC